GCUGCAUUAUUUUUUUUUUAAUUCCAAAGGGUGAUUCCCAAAAUCCUGGGAAUCUCCUGCCCUGGGAGCUGCUGGAAUUUGCUCAUUCCUCCUCCAAAGGUGAGGCAGGAUCCUGUGAAAUUCCUGGGAUUUGGGGUGAAGCCCUGGAUUGGGAGCACUGGGAGCACCCCAGGCUGGAUUCUUAAGGACUGGGAGCUCCCCAGGUGGAUUUUGGGACACUGGGAGCUCCCCAGGCUGGAUUUUGGGGGAUUGGGAGCGCCCCAGGAUGGCAAAAAGACCCCAAAAACCCCAGCUCUGCUUUUCCCUGAUCUGCUCCCCUUCCCAAACCUCUCCCAUUCCAAAGAAGAGUGGGAAUGCUGUCACCAUCACCCCAUGGAGGGAACAGAAUUUUCCCUGGAUUUGUCCUGGAUUAACUCACACCUUCCCAAUUCCCUGCAUACCACUAUCCAUCCUUGAUCCACUUUUCCUUUUUCCAGGAUCUCUUUUAUUUUUUGGGAAGAAAAGCUGGAGCAGGCCUGGUUCUUGGGAAGGUUUUCCCUCACACAGUGCCAUGAGGUAUUUCCAUGGAUUUUCAGGCUCAGUUUCACCCAGAAACCUGGAAUUUUUUUAAGGAUUGUGGGGUUUUUUUUCCCCCUCCAAAUCCCAGCUGGAGGAGGCAGGCAGGGCAGGAUUUGUAGCACCUUUUGUGGCAAAGCAGCUUGGAAUUUUUUCCAUUGAAAUCCACAGGAAUUCCAGGACUGGGAUUGUCCCAGGGCUCCAGGGAAUCCUCAGAUCCAGCAGGAUGGGGCAAUUCCUCGGAUUCAGAGCACUGGAACGCUGCUCCUUGACACACGGCAGGGGAGAAUUCUCCAGAAUUCCCAGCUGGAAGUUCCCCCAUGGAAUUCCUGCUCGGGGGAUGGAGCAGCAGCCGGGGAUCCCAAGGGGCGAGGGAGGGAAUUUGGGCCCAAAAUCAGGGAAAGAGCCAAAACUCUCUUGGAUUUUGUUCCUGAUGUCCCAGGGAGAGGAGAGAGCUGCUCCAGGAGGAUUCACUCCAUUCCCAGCCUCUGGAAUCCACCAGGGACAGGCUGGGAGAGCCCAUCCCAGGUCUGGGAUCCCUGCAGGAUCCAGGGGCAGCUUCAGCAAUUCCAGCAGCAGCUCUUCCACCUUCCCAGGGCUCCAGGGAACCUCCCAGCAGCGUCACCUUUGGAUCCACCACAUCCCACGCUCCUCCUUCCUCCCUUCCUUCCAUCUUCCACGGCUCCAAGCUUUUCCCAGGAUGCUCCUGCCUCUCCUGGAGGGUUUGGAUCUCUUCUCCCAAAUCCUGGGGAGCGGGGGAGCUGUGGAGCUGCUCGGAACUCCACACUUUGUUUAUUCCCAGGGGUUCUUCCAGCCCCUGGCUCCGUUUGCAGCUCUCCAGAGAGGAUCAAAGCCUUGCCACGAUGCCUGGGAGCAGAUGGAUCUUCCCAGAGAAUUCCCCCUUUUCUCCUCCCUCUCCCCCACCUGGAAAUUCCCAAGGUGGGAUCUGAAAAUCCAGCGGGAUCAGAAAAUCCAGUUUUUCCUCAUGCUGAAGAUCCAAAAAAAAAAAAAAUUAAAA